UAUUUAAACUAUUUCAGUUUGUCAAAAGGAUCAGACUGACCUAGCAGACUUCUCCAGUCUUGGGGAUGAAAAUCAAGAUACAGAUCCUCAUCAUUUCACCAGUGACCAGUCCAAAGUCCAUUCAGAUGAGGUUGAAGGUCCACUAAUUGGUGAUCAUGAAACUCAGGAGUCAGAAGGUGGAGAAGCUGAUCUACACCAAUAUCUUGUGGGCUGU
rnacentral:sRNA from 1 species